ACGGUGCGUAACGCGUAUGCAAUCUACCUUUACAGAGGAUAGCCAGAGUAAAUUUGGAUUAAUACCUCAUAGUAUUUUUGAAUCGCAUGAUUUGAUUAUUAAAGUUCCAACGGUAAAAGAUGAGUAUGCGUCCCAUUAGCUAGAUGGUAAGGUAACGGCUUACCAUGGCUACGAUGGGUAGGGGUCCUGAGAGGGAGAUCCCCCCACACUGGUACUGAGACACGGACCAGACUCCUACGGGAGGCAGCAGUGAGGAAUAUUGGACAAUGGGCGCAAGCCUGAUCCAGCCAUGCCGCGUGCAGGAAGAAGGUCCUAUGGAUUGUAAACUGCUUUUAUACAGGAAGAAACACUCCCUCGUGAGGGAACUUGACGGUACUGUAUGAAUAAGGACCGGCUAACUCCGUG
rnacentral:rRNA from 1 species